rnacentral:tRNA from 2 species
GCCGAAGUGGUAAGAAAAUCCCUCGAUCAUAGAUCGUACCGGUUCGAUUCCGGUCCCGGGCACCA